rnacentral:rRNA from 1 species
UACGUAGGUGGCAAGCGUUGUCCGGAUUUACUGGGCGUAAAGGGCGUGCAGGCGGUUUGUUUAGUCUAGGGUGAAAGCUUCCGGCUUAACUGGGAGAGGGCCUUGGAUACUGGCAAACUUGAGGGAGGCAGAGGAAAGUGGAAUUCCCGGUGUAGUGGUGAUAUGCGUAGAUAUCGGGAGGAACACCAGUGGCGAAGGCGGCUUUCUGGGCCUUACCUGACGCUGAGACGCGAAAGCGUGGGGAGCGAACCGG